rnacentral:rRNA from 1 species
UGGGGAAUUUGGACAAUGGGCGCAAGCCUGAUCCAGCCAUGCCGCGUGCGGGAAGAAGGCCUUCGGUUGUAACCGCUUUUGUCAGGGAAGAAAUCUUCUGAGUUAAUACCUCGGGGGGAUGACGGUACCUGAAGAAUAAGCACCGGCUAACUACGUGCCAGCAGCCGCGGUAAUACGUAGGGUGCAAGCGUUAAUCGGAAUACUGGGCGUAAAGCGUGCGCAGGCGGUUUUGUAAGACAGAGGUGAAAUCCCCGGGCUCAACCUGGGAACUGCCUUUGUGACUGCAAGGCUUGAGUGCGGCAGAGGGGGAUGGAAUUCCGCGUGUAGCAGUGAAAUGCGUAGAUAUGCGGAGGAACACCGAUGGCGAAGGAAUCCCCUGGGCCUGCACUGACGCUCAUGCACGAAAGCGUGGGGAGCAAACAGGAUUAG